GUGAGGGACUAGGAGACACGAAAAGUCACCUCUCCUAGUAAACGAGGAAGGAACCAAAGGCAGGAGUCGCUGAGCGAGAGCUGCAUGUUGAUCUAAAAAAUGUCUGUGCAGCCAUUUGGACCUCAGCGUGAAGUGGUGAUAAAAGGUGAAGUCCGUUCUUCGGGAAGUAAACCUCUGCCACGUGGAUCACGCCCAGACAGUCUGUUGAUUUUGUCCAACAGCUUCUUGCUUUGGAAGGUGUCCUUCCUGGUGGAACACAGUAAGUGUCGGACAGACGAACAGUCCACUCUGUACAGGUACUGGAGAAGAUCCCAGAUUAAUGUUUGGAGGACAAUUUUGUUGUAACAGACACUGAUGAAGCUCCAUUGUAAAGAACUGGGAAAGCCUUCUAGAUGUGCACGUGUCUAGAUUCGGCCUUUGUUUAACAUAUAUUCCAAUCCUGAUUCUGCCUUCACCAGCUGCAAAGAGCACCUGACACACGACCACAGCACGGGGCCUGCUGAAGAGGGAGUUUUAUCACCUCAAACUCAUGGCCACUUGGUAUUUUCAAAAGCCAGCCAAGAGAAAGAUUUGCAGAGAGCUGUGCAGAAAACAUGCAGCCCAUUCAGCCUCUCGGUUUCACCUUUUGCUGGAACACAGAGGUACAAAUGACGCUUAAUGUACCAACGCUUUCUGACUGACUCCUCUCUACCCUGAAUACAAGAGACCCUAAUAGAUACGUGGAAAUAUCAUCGCCCCUGUUCAGCAUGAAGAAGUUACAGAAGACGGACCUUCAUCCUUCUGCAACCCUUAGAAUUAAGGGUCCUCUUGUAAAAGGGUGGGGGGGAUAGGUUAGAAGCAUUCAAACCAGAGUGACUCUGUUUCGAAUAUGGGCCAAGAAAA